rfam:Firmicutes bacterium CAG:129_59_24 Ley3_66761_scaffold_1488, whole genome shotgun sequence.
AUAUACUAUUCGAGCGUUCCAAAGACAGCAGGUGAGAUUCGUCUCGUAAGUCCUGCCGAGGAUGGCAAACAUUUAUUGAUUGCUUUACCGUCCUCAUGUCCUGCAUGAGGACGGUUUCCUUUUUAGAAC